rnacentral:rRNA from 1 species
CCUACGGGAGGCAGCAGUGGGGAAUAUUGCACAAUGGGCGCAAGCCUGAUGCAGCCAUGCCGCGUGUGUGAAGAAGGCCUUCGGGUUGUAAAGCACUCUCAGCGGGGAGGAAGGCGGUGAGGUUAAUAACCUCAUCGAUUGACGUUACCCGCAGAAGAAGCACCGGCUAACUCCGUGCCAGCAGCCGCGGUAAUACGGAGGGUGCAAGCGUUAAUCGGAAUUACUGGGCGUAGAGCGCACGCAGGCGGUCUGUCAAGUCGGAUGUGAAAUCCCCGGGCUCAACCUGGGAACUGCAUUCGAAACUGGCAGGCUAGAGUCUUGUAGAGGGGGGUAGAAUUCCAGGUGUAGCGGUGAAAUGCGUAGAGAUCUGGAGGAAUACCGGUGGCGAAGGCGGCCCCCUGGACAAAGACUGACGCUCAGGUGCGAAAGCGUGGGGAGCAAACAGGAUUAGAUACCCUAGUAGUC